GAUGCGAGGUGCCAGUGGCAUCCCCCUGGCUCUGGAAGACGCACUCGGCCUCUGCAAACUAUAACAGAACUUGGAGAGGACCUGUGAGAUGGCCCAGAGCAUAAAAGGCACUCAUCGCCAUGGAACCUGAGUCCCAUACCUGGGGAGCCACACCGGCAGGAAAGAACUGACUUCUGAAAGUGUCCUCUGGGGUCCACAGACACACUGUCACAUGAACAAGCAUGAGCGCGCACGUGUGCGCGCGAACACACACACACACUCAUCAAGUGUAAAAGAAGCUUAAAUAAAAGAAUUAUAGGCUGAGAGCGUGACUGGACUAAGUAUCAGUUCCCACAAAAAGGCACAAAGGGCUGUCUUGAAAUCUUGAACCUGGAGGAGGUUGGCCUGUAUGCACAGUGAAGGAAUCACAUGUAAAAUCCCUUCAAACAAACAAAACCCCCAAUAACAGGCAAAACAAUACAGUCAUUGAUAGUCUAUUUGAUAGCAAAUUUCAACAAAUGGAAAUAUAUGUAUAUCCACAUGCAGGAAAAACUUGAGUAGUGGUAUCAUACAGUGUAUAAAAAGUACAAUCUCCAAAUAGA